rnacentral:lncRNA from 1 species
CUUGCUCCUCCUCGAGCUCCCUGUUCAUGGUCCUCUGCGGGUAGGGCUCAGGGGGAAGCGGGGUCUCUGUGAGCCUUUCUUCUUGCUCGUCUUGUCGGGAAGACGAUGGCGCUCGAUCUGAUGGGCCUGUCGAGGAUGGACGAGCAGCUCGCGAUUCAGGAGGCGGCGGCGGCGGGCAUCCGCAGCAUGGAGCACCUCGUCUUCCAGCUCUCCGGGCCUGCCCGGCACAACCAAGUGGACUGCAGGGAGAUCGCCGAUUUCACGGUGACCAAGUUCAAGAAGGUCAUCUCCUUGCUGAAUCGGACAGGCCACGCGCGGUUCCGCAGGGGUGGCGCUGCCACCGCCGCUUCAUCCGCUCCCUCCUCCGCCGGCGCUGCCAGGCGGGCGCCGCCGGCCACGCCGUCCUUCUCCGCCCCCGUCACCACGGAUCUGAACUUCGCCCCUGUGUCGCCGCC